rnacentral:misc_RNA from 1 species
GAUGAAGAACGCAGCGAAAUGCGAUAAGUAAUGUGAAUUGCAGAAUUCAGUGAAUCAUCGAAUCUUUGAACGCACAUUGCGCCCGCCAGUAUUCUGGCGGGCAUGCCUGUCUGAGCGUCAUUUCAACCCUCAUGCCCCUAGGGCGUGGUGUUGGGGAUCGGCCAAAGCCCGCGAGGGACGGCCGGCCCCUAAAUCUAGUGGCGGACCCGUCGUGGCCUCCUCUGCGAAGUAGUGAUAUUCCGCAUCGGAGAGCGAUGAGCCCCUGCCGUUAAACCCCCAACUUUCCAAGGUUGACCUCCGAUCAGGUAGGAAUACCCGCUGAACUUAAGCAUAUCAAUAAGCGGAGGA